rnacentral:rRNA from 1 species
UACAGAGGUCUCAAGCGUUGUUCGGCUUCAUUGGGCGUAAAGGGUGCGUAGGCGGCGCGGUAAGUCGGGUGUGAAAUCUCGGAGCUUAACUCCGAAACUGCAUUCGAUACUGCCGUGCUUGAGGACUGGAGAGGAGACUGGAAUUUACGGUGUAGCGGUGAAAUGCGUAGAUAUCGUAAGGAAGACCAGUGGCGAAGGCGGGUCUCUGGACAGUUCCUGACGCUGAGGCACGAAGGCGAGGGGAGCAAACGGG